rnacentral:rRNA from 1 species
GACGAACGCUGGCGGCGUGCUUAACACAUGCAAGUCGAACGGAAAGACCCUGCUUUUGUGGGGUGCUCGAGUGGCGAACGGGUGAGUAACACGUGAGUAACCUGCCCUUGACUUUGGGAUAACUUCAGGAAACUGGGGCUAAUACCGGAUAGGAGCUCCUGCUGCAUGGUGGGGGUUGGAAAGUUUCGGCGGUUGGGGAUGGACUCGCGGCUUAUCAGCUUGUUGGUGGGGUAGUGGCUUACCAAGGCUUUGACGGGUAGCCGGCCUGAGAGGGUGACCGGCCACAUUGGGACUGAGAUACGGCCCAGACUCCUACGGGAGGCAGCAGUGGGGAAUAUUGCACAAUGGGCGGAAGCCUGAUGCAGCAACGCCGCGUGCGGGAUGACGGCCUUCGGGUUGUAAACCGCUUUCGCCUGUGACGAAGCGUGAGUGACGGUAAUGAGUAAAGAAGCACCGGCUAACUACGUG